rnacentral:rRNA from 1 species
CUUCUUUGUCAAAGCCUGAUCUUGUCAGAUCAGGCUCUGCCUGGUUAGUACUUGGAUGGGAAACCACUAGGAAUACCAAGUGCCACAGUGGGGC